GAUGAACGCUGGCGGCGUGCUUAACACAUGCAAGUCGAACGGAAAGGCCCAAUCUUGCUUGGGUCCUCGAGUGGCGAACGGGUGAGUAACACGUGGGUGAUCUGCCCUGCACUUCGGGAUAAGCCUUUUAAACUGGGUCUAAUAUCGGAUAUGACCACUUCUUGGAUGUUGUGUUGGAAAGUUUUUUCGGUGUGGGUUAAGCUCGCGUCCUAUCAGCUUGUUUUUGGGGUAAUGGCCUACCAAGGCUCCGCCGGGUAGCCGGACUGAGAGGGUGUACGGCGACAUAGAGACUGAGAGAAGGCAGAGGCACCUACGGGAGGCAGAAGUGGGGAAUAUUGAACAAUGAGCGCAAGGCUGAUGCAGCGAGGCCGCGUGGGGGAUGACGGCGUUCGGGGUGUAGAAUACUGGCGCGAGGGAAGAAGCGAUUAUGUGACGGUACCUGGAGAAGAAGCAACGGCUAACUACGUG
rnacentral:rRNA from 1 species